rnacentral:rRNA from 1 species
UACGUAGGGGGCAAGCGUUGUCCGGAAUCAUUGGGCGUAAAGAGCGUGUAGGCGGCGCGGUAAGUCGGGUGUGAAAUCUUGGAGCUUAACUCCGAAACUGCAUUCGAUACUGCCGUGCUUGAGGACUGGAGAGGAGACUGGAAUUUACGGUGUAGCGGUGAAAUGCGUAGAUAUCGUAAGGAAGACCAGUGGCGGAAGGCGGGUCUCUGGACAGUUCCUGACGCUGAGGCACGAAGGCCAGGGGAGCAAACGGG